GAUGAACGCUGGCGGCGUGCUUAACACAUGCAAGUCGAGCGAAGCACUUUACUUAGAUUUCUUCGGGAUGAAGAGUUUUGUGACUGAGCGGCGGACGGGUGAGUAACGCGUGGGUAACCUGCCUCAUACAGGGGGAUAACAGUUAGAAAUGACUGCUAAUACCGCAUAAGACCACAGCACCUCAUGGUGCAGGGGUAAAAACUCCGGUGGUAUGAGAUGGACCCGCGUCUGAUUUGCUGGUUGGUGGGGUAACGGGCUACCAAGGCAACGACCAGUAGCCGGCCUGAGAGGGCGACCGGCCACAUUGGGACUGAGACACGGCCCAAACUCCUACGGGAGGCAGCAGUGGGGAAUAUUGCACAAUGGGGGAAACCCUGAUGCAGCGACGCCGCGUGAAGGAAGAAGUAUUUCGGUAUGUAAACUUCUAUCAGCAGGGAAGAAAAUGACGGUACCUGACUAAGAAGCCCCGGCUAACUACGUGCCAGCCGCCGCCGUAA
rnacentral:rRNA from 1 species